CUCUCCCUACCUCAAAGCCAUCAGGGGAUCCUGUGGAUUCUACCUUCAAAACAUCCUGAGGCCAUCCGUGUCUCCACCUCUCCACUACUACUCAUCUAAUACAAGUCCCCUGCAUCUCCCUCUGCUCCCAGAGGCCCCACCAAAGAAUGCAGCCUUGAGAGAGUGAAGUGAUGUGGACAGCACCUGGAUAUUAUACACGAGUGAACCUAGUUACAGCCUCUAUAUGAACUUUAAGAUUCUGGCAGGAGAUUCAGGAGAUCAACUGUCUUGCAGCCACUCAAGACAAGCCUCAUCACCACAAGCUGAUGGGAGCUAAGGAACCGAAGAGGUGGAUGAACAUCCACGCAGCUUGGAAGUAGACCUCUUUCACCAAGAUCACCCAGUGCUUUACGUGCUUUAGGCUGGGGACUCUAAGACUUAUGGAUUCUAAGACUUUAUGGAUCAAUAAAGGAUUAAAGAAAAUUUAGAGGACUGAAAGUAUUGUCAACAUUAAAUUGUUUUAAUUAAACUUUUAACUUAAGAUGUGUAGAUUCACAUGCAAUUAUAAGAAAUAAUACAGAGAGAUUCUAUGUAUCUUCUAUCCAGUUUUCUUCAACGAUCACACCUUGAAAACAACUACUUUUUAUAUUAAAUCUGUGAUCCAUUUUGAGUUAAUUUUUUAAUUAAGUAUGAGGUUUAGAUCAAGGUUCAUUUUUUUCCCUAUGGAUGUCAAAUUGCUCCAGCAUCAUUUGUGAAAACUCUACCCUUCCUCCAUUGAAUUAUGUUUACACUUCUAUAAAAAAAAGCAGUUAAGAGUAGGUGUGUGAGUAUCAUUUAGGGUCCCUUAGUCUGUCCCAUUUAUCUUUGUCUAUCCCUCCAUCAGUAGCACACUCUUUUGAUUAUUGUAGCAAUAUAUUAAGCAUUAAUAUCAGGUAAAGUGACUCUUCCCACUAUAUUCUUUUUCAAGAUUAUUUUAGCUAUUUUAGGAUGUGUGUCUUUCCAUAUAAAUUUUAGAAUAAAUUUGUCUAUAUCUACAAAAAUUUGCUGUGAUUUUUAUAGACAUUACAUUAAAUCGAUAGAUCAAUUUAGGGAGAAUUGACAUCUUUACCAUGUUGAGUCUUACAGCUGCUGAUAUCCUAUGUUUCUCCAUUUAGUUAGGUCUUUUUUUAUUUCCUUAAGCAACAUUUUGUAAUUUUCAACAUACAGAUCCUUUCAAUGCUUUGUUUGUUAAGUUUUUAUUAAAAUGUCUCAUUUUCUAUUAAAAUGUCUCAUUUCCUUUGGAGGAAUUAUAAAUGGUAUUAUGUUUUUAAUAUCAGUUUUCCUGUGUUCAUUGUUAGUAUAUAGAAACAUUUUUGCUUGUUGGUCUUGUAUCCUGUGACUAUGCUGGAUUCACUUAUUCGAGUUCCUUGAGUAUUUCUAUAUCAUUGUUUGUCAUUUUCUCAAGUCAUUUAAUUGUAAACAAGAACAGUUUUACUUCUUUUCCAAUUUAAAUGUCUUUUAUUUCUUUUUCUUGCUUUACUGCUCUGGCUAGAACUUCCAUUAUUAUGUGGAAUAAGAGGGAUGAGAGCCCUGAAUGCUUUGUUCCUGGUCUUCAGAGAA